CCGACUUAAAUUUUAUCUAGUUCAUUUGGGCCUUUUUAUUUGGCAACUUUCAAAAGAGAAUAUUAAGUUUCAUGGAAGUUAAUGGCACACUCAUGUACAAAAUUCCAAAUGUGAUGGAGAUGUUUGCAUAAAAGGAAAAACUUAAUAUAAGAAUAAUCCAUCCCCCUAUAUAAUAAAAAGCAUACACGAUUUUUUCAAGGCUUAACUUGGAAGUAAUAUAUUAAAGGACAAUACUGCACAAAUGUCUGUGAGUGUGAUUAAACUGAUUGCACAAACAGCUUAUUAUCAGAAUACAGAAUCAGGAAACCGGUGCUUCAGUAUCAGCAAGAAGCAACAUUGUUGGGCAACACAUCAUCAUUCAAAAUUGGAUGGGCACAUAAAUGAAGUGAUGCUAUCCUGUAGAGUCAAAGUUCUGAAAUUCUAGGAUUGUUUUUUUCUAAGUCUUACUGAAAAUGUAUGGAAAAACUAAUAAGUAGAGCCUACAAGUGAGCUCUGAAUUCUUGUUCUCUAAAACAGCAGCACACAUAUAGGCCUAGGUUCUUAAAGGGCUUUUCCAGUUAAACUCAAGUAAAUUAUCCAAUAUUCCCUACAUGUAUUUCUGAGGCUGCUGAAUUUAUUUUUCCUUCUAGAAUGUAAGGAAAACUUCCUGGAUUUGAUUAGGCAUUGUGGAAGUACUGAAUCAACAGUCCUAAAAAGCAAAUAUUACAGUAUCCACCUCCCCUAGAAUCAAAUUAUCCCAGGAAGUAAAUAACCACAAUGAACCCUGGACACAGCACCAGAAAUCAAAGGUCCUAAUCCUUAGGUGGUGCCAAAGGAAUACUAUACAGUAUACAGACUGUCUAAAAAUACUUCAGAAACCCGCCAAACCUCCUUCCCUGAAAAGCUUUAAAAAUAUGUUGAAUAGCUGUUUUAUGUGAUUUGGAUAUAGUUUUAUUCAGAGACUGGAGAACAGGCAAAAUGAUCAUGAGCUGUCCUGUCUUUUGUAAUUCCAGGAUUAUGUAAAAUAAAUUAGUGGAAGUUUUCAUCCUAUUACAUAUCGUCACCAACCUCAAAUCACUGUAACACAUCAUUUUAAAGAAUAAAGAUAACUAGCAACAAACUAUGAUUUAAUUUUGAAUAGAAGGCAGCAUAAUAUCUUUAAUGAGGAAGAAUAUUUUGAGAAAUGAUGGCAAAAAGAAAAGUUAAAGUCAGUCUGACAGCAGAACUCCUACUACCCAGUUCAAUUGGCUUCCCUUCUUUUACUUAGGCUACUGUUGCCUAACAACAUUCAAUCCAGUAAUAUGAUGGAUAAUUAAUCAUAUAUAAUGAAUAGCCAUCUGUAUCAGUCUUCUCAAUGACUAUUGAUCCUAAAUGGGAUGCUGACUUUCUGAUAAGUAUCUCUAGAUUUUCUAAAGAUUCUGAUACUGAGUCUUUGCCUAAAGGAGGUAGGUUAGAAACAAGAUGAUCAUGCCAACCUUGUUCAGAUGAGUUACAGCUGUUAACAUCUCAUUUUUCAAAAGAAUUAAGUAAGACUCCCAAUGAUAAAAGAAUCACCAUCUUCCCUUAAAUAAAGAUGAUUUCAUGAAGAGAAAGCAGAUCACAAUCAACCAGGUAUGGCUAUAUACUUCUCUAAGGUUGCAGGGACAGAUAUAUUUAAGGAAAACCAGAUAAAACUGGUUUCCAUUAAGCUGCCUUUAAUAGUGCCAUCUAAUUCCAUGAUAUCCCUAUCCUAAAAGACAGGAAAUGCACAGAGACCACAUCUUUGGUCUCUGGAAAACUAUCCAAUGGCUUGAUUCCUCUGUUAAUUCAUGAAAAUAAAUUUUUCUUUAGUGCUUAACAAUUUUAAAAUUCCCAGGUAACUUGAACACCCCAGCAUCUUCUUAUUACAAAGUAUAAAACAGUAAUCAUACUAAUAACACUAGUUCAGAAAGUGCUAUGGGAGGUUUAAUUUUCAAAGAGAUGUGCAAACUAAAUAUUCCAAAUGAUUGCUCCUUGUCACUACCUACAGUAACCUUUCAGCAUUGCUAUUGCACAUCACAGGAAUGGAUGGUUUCCUCAUAUGAGCCAGCAACAUACCUCCAAAACUUCAAAAUAUAUGAAGGCAGUUCCCUGAAUAUAAUCCUUUUCCUCCACUCCCAGUCAAUCAAGCUACAUAUUCAAUUUGAUCCACUAGGCAGAGAAAAAGAGACUUUUAGAACAGAAAGACACCACUCCACACCAAAAUUGGGCAAGCAAGUAAUGUUACAAAAUCUUGAGACCUCUGGUUACAUGAGUUACUAUGAAUACAAUCUAUACCAAAAUUAUGUAGCCAGCUACUUUUGUCUAAUUAAAAUCUCAUACAUAAGAAUCUCUAUACAGUAUAAAAACAAAUUUAAAGUGAAUUUUGUGCAGCUGGAAGGUGCUGAGUUGACUUAUUGUCAUCUGGAAUCCUUCGUUUCUUUAUCCCCAGCACAAGCAGAAAGCAUGCAAGUUCUGCCUCAUCCCAUUUAAUCAGUGUGAUACAAUCUUAUAAUAUCUCUAGCACUGAAAGAGAAAUUCAAUCUGGGGAGGUUAUCUGAAUCUAGACUUCCAGGCCAAAAAUAUCAACACAGUCCCCAACUAUGAUGCUGGCCUCUGUCCAGUUUCUUGAAUUCAGAGAAGCUACAUUCACCUCACACAGACAGGAAAUAAUUUCUACCACAUGGCUAAUGUUUGACAAAUUAAACCAAGUUCAAUGACUGAGAUGAAAGCCUGCAUUUCUCAUUAUUUGAACAACUCCAAACUGAAACAUGGUAUAGUAUUCUCAAGUAAACUCCCCACCUAUUAAGAUAAAAAUAUUCCUACAAAAUAAGUACUUCUUUACCUCACUGGGUGAUUUUGAGGACUUCUCUUUUCACCUUUUUUCUUAUAGCUUCAAAAAUAUUACAAUUUCAAAUUUUAAAAGGAAUAAGAAAAAAAUGCACAGCAGAACCUGAGUUACUACAAACAGAAACGGGUCCUGUACUUUGGGUAUCUUCUUGACUGAAAAAGCCACAAAUGUCCUUUCAGGUUGCUCAAUUAGGAAUCUUAACUAAAUAUGUCCUAAGUUUUCAAUAAUGCAGCACCAUCCUCACAAAAACCUAUUCAUCUUCCACGGUACUGUAUUCAGU
ensembl:lncRNA